UGUAAGGUAAACUAAUAAAGUUGUUGGGUUCAUGCCCCAAAAAUGUUCCUAUUGGAUCUCUUAUUU
rnacentral:tRNA from 1 species